rnacentral:rRNA from 1 species
UACGUAGGGUGCGAGCGUUGUCCGGAAUUAUUGGGCGUAAAGAGCUCGUAGGCGGCUUGUUGCGUCGGAUGUGAAAGCCCGGGGCUUAACUCCGGGUCUGCAUUCGAUACUGCCGUGCUUGAGGACUGGAGAGGAGACUGGAAUUUACGGUGUAGCGGUGAAAUGCGUAGAUAUCGUAAGGAAGACCAGUGGCGAAGGCGGGUCUCUGGACAGUUCCUGACGCUGAGGCACGAAGGCCAGGGGAGCAAACGGG